AGUGAACGCUGGCGGCAGGCCUAACACAUGCAAGUCGAACGGCAGCACAGAGGAGCUUGCUCCUUGGUGGCGAGUGGCGGACGGGUGAGGAAUACAUCGGAAUCUGCCCAGUCGUGGGGGAUAACAUAGGGAAACUUAUGCUAAUACCGCAUACGACCUACGGGUGAAAGCGGGGGAUCGCAAGACCUCGCGCGAUUGGAUGAGCCGAUGUCCGAUUAGCUAGUUGGCGGGGUAAUGGCCCACCAAGGCGACGAUCGGUAGCUGGUCUGAGAGGAUGAUCAGCCACACUGGAACUGAGACACGGUCCAGACUCCUACGGGAGGCAGCAGUGGGGAAUAUUGGACAAUGGGCGCAAGCCUGAUCCAGCCAUGCCGCGUGGGUGAAGAAGGCC
rnacentral:rRNA from 1 species